AAACUUUCAACAACGGAUCUCUUGGUUCUGGCAUCGAUGAAUAACGCAGCGAAAUGCGAUAAGUAAUGUGAAUUGCAGAAUUCAGUGAAUCAUCGAAUCUUUGAACGCACAUUGCGCCCGCCAGUAUUCUGGCGGGCAUGCCUGUCCGAGCGUCAUUU
rnacentral:rRNA from 1 species